AAAAAAGCUAUGAUUAGGAAGAGUAAAUUUUAAUCGAUUAUCAGAGAUGGAAAUUCAUAGGCUGAAAGAUUUCCUUAAUUAGAAAUAUUGAAAACUACCUAGGAGCUUCAUUCUGAAGUUAUCUUUUGAUUUUAGUAAGAAUAGACGUUUUACACACGUUACAUGUAACAAGUGGAUUUUUUAAUCAAUUUGGGUGGAACCGCGGGAAUAUACUCUCGUCCCUUUU
rfam:Terrisporobacter sp. 08-306576 Contig122, whole genome shotgun sequence.